GACGAACGCUGGCGGCGUGCCUAAUACAUGCAAGUUGAGCGCUGAAGGUUGGUACUUGUACCAACUGGAUGAGCAUCGAACGGGUGAGUAACGCGUGGGGAAUCUGCCUUUGAGCGGGGGACAACAUUUGGAAACGAAUGCUAAUACCGCAUAAAAACUUUAAACACAAGUUUUAGUUUGAAAGAUGCAAUUGCAUCACUCAAAGAUGAUCCCGCGUUUUAUUAGCUAGUUGGUGAGGUAAAGGCUCACCAAGGCGAUGAUACAUAGCCGACCUGAGAGGGUGAUCGGCCACAUUGGGACUGAGACACGGCCCAAACUCCUACGGGAGGCAGCAGUAGGGAAUCUUCGGCAAUGGACGAAAGUCUGACCGAGCAACGCCGCGUGAGUGAAGAAGGUUUUCGGAUCGUAAAACUCUGUUGGUAGAGAAGAACGUUGGUGAGAGUGGAAAGCUCAUCAAGUGACGGUAACUACCCAGAAAGGGACGGCUAACUACGUG
rnacentral:rRNA from 1 species